UACGUAGGUGGCGAGCGUUGUCCGGAAUUACUGGGCGUAAAGUGUGCGCAGGCGGCCGAGCAAGUCGAGUGUGAAAGCCCCGAGCUUAACUUGGGAACUGCGCUCGAAACUACUUGGCUAGAGUGUGGCAGAGGGAGGUGGAAUUCCACGUGUAGCGGUGAAAUGCGUAGAGAUGUGGAGGAACACCGAUGGCGAAGGCAGCCUCCUGGGCCAACACUGACGCUCAUGCACGAAAGCGUGGGGAGCAAACAGG
rnacentral:rRNA from 1 species